GNAGGGAGCAAGCGUNGUCCGGAUCUACUGGGUGUAAAGGGUGCGUAGGCGGCNUNGCAAGUCAGAUGUGAAAUCUANGGGCNCAACCCAUAAACNGCAUUUGAAACNGUAGAGCNNGAGUGAAGUAGAGGCAGGCGGAAUUCCCCGUGUAGCGGUGAAAUGCGUAGAGAUGGGGAGGAACACCAGUGGCGAAGGCGGCCUGCUGGGCUUUAACUGACGCUGAGGCACGAAAGCGUGGGUAGCAAACAGGAUUAGAUACCCUGGUAGUCCACGCUGUAAGCGAUGAUUACUAGGUGUGGGGGGUCUGACCCCUUCCGUGCUGGAGUUAACACAAUAAGUAAUCCACCUGGGGAGU
rnacentral:rRNA from 1 species